GUCGAACGCUGGCGGCGUGCUUAACACAUGCAAGUCGAACGGUGAAGCUCCAGCUUGCUGGAGUGGAUCAGUGGCGAACGGGUGAGUAACACGUGAGCAACCUGCCCCUGACUCUGGAAUAAGCGCUGGAAACGGCGUCUAAUACUGGAUACGAGAAGGGUCCGCAUGGGCACUUUCUGGAAAGUUUUUCGGUUGGGGAUGGGCUCGCGGCCUAUCAGCUUGUUGGUGAGGUAAUGGCUCACCAAGGCGACGACGGGUAGCCGGCCUGAGAGGGCGACCGGCCACACUGGGACUGAGACACGGCCCAGACUCCUACGGGAGGCAGCAGUGGGGAAUAUUGCACAAUGGGCGAAAGCCUGAUGCAGCGACGCCGCGUGAGGGAUGACGGCCUUCGGGUUGUAAACCUCUUUCAGCAGGGAAGAAGCGAAAGUGACGGUACCUGCAGAAGAAGCACCGGCUAACUACGUG
rnacentral:rRNA from 1 species